rnacentral:rRNA from 1 species
CACGUAGGUGGGUCGUUAAGUCAGGGGUGAAAUCCCGGAGCUCAACUCCGGAACUGCCUUUGAUACUGGCGACCUUCGAGUCCGGGAGAGGUGAGUGGAAUUCCGCGUGUAGCAGUGAAAUGCGUAGAUAUGCGGAGGAACACCGAUGGCGAAGGCAAUCCCCUGGGCCUGUACUGACGCUCAUGCACGAAAGCGUGGGGAGCAAACA